UUAUAAGGGGGGAAGAAUGUAAUAACCCGUACGUUUGACGUUGCCGAAGUGAGCAAUGCAAUUUAAAUUAAUAGUCAGAGCGACUAGAAAAAGGAGUUAGCGAAGGAAUUAAGUAAUUAAGAACGAGGAUAGGUCGAUAUUGAAAUUUAAAGAAGGAAUUUCAAUAUUUGUAAUGCCUAAAUUAAUUAAACGGGACGAAGGAAAAGUUGGAGUUAAAAGUAAGAUUAAGUCCCCGAAAAAUUAGAAAAUGGAAUUUUAUUGUCCGAAAAAUAUUAAAUAAAUAAAUUAUUGACGGGAAUCAGUAAUUAAGAAAGUAAUAUUGAUAAUUUGGAUGUCAAUAUUCAUAAAAGAAAAAUAUAAGGAUGAAAAAGUGACGGAAAUCGUCGUUUUCGCUCAAAUUGGAAAAUUGAGCAUUUUAGCCAAAAUUUGGCAAAAUCGAUUAGCGGAGUCUAAAUAGUGAGUUGGCGGAAGAGUAUUAUUUAUUUAGACAUAAAUAAUACGAAAUUUAUCGAGAUUUAACGAUUGAGUGAUUUUUGGACUAAAUUGAGCAAAAGAAAAGUUUGGGACUAAAUGUUGAGGAGGUGGCUUCAUUAAGGGUUGAAGUGAAUUUUUACCAUAAAUAUAUAUAUAGUCAAUUACAUGAUUAAGAUCAGAAUACACACCCCAAUUCUCAGCUCAAACCCUCACCAUCUUCAUCAUCUCAAUUCCAUAUGGGAACCAAACUUUAAUUCACCAUAACUUAUUCGUUUUAGCUCGGUUUUGGUCGAUUCUUGUGGCAACGGAAAGAGGAGAACCAUACCUACUGAUUGAGCCCAAUAAAUUAAGGUAUAAAUCUCAUCUUAAGGUUAGGGUUGCUGCUGUAAUUUUCUGUUUUGGUGAUAAUGGUUGAAAAUGAUGUUUAUAAGCUUAUAAUUAAUAGUUUUGGCAUGAUUUUGGUUAAGUUUAAACUAAAAUUAAGGGUGGUUGAGUGAGGUUGUGAGAUUUGUGUUUGGGUUGAUGAUUUGGUGAGAUUAAAGGGUGUUUGGUGGCUGUUUUCCAGCCAUGGUGGCCGGAUUUCUCACCGUGCCGAAGCACGGUGAGUUGCUGCCGUGAGCAGCAGCCCUGGUGCGACGCACCAGGGCAUUGGCCGGCCCCUCCCCUGUCAAAACAGGGGAGGGCUGAGUUGAGCGGGAGGGGGCUGAUGCCACCCUCCACUUGUGUUCGAAUUUUAAUGAUUUUGAUAGUUGACGGAGUUACGAAACUAGGAAUCAAACUUGAUGUAAAAGCGGUUUUUAGGAUAAAAUGUUAAUGAUUUGAAAUUGGUAUCGGUUGGACAUUAUGGUAUGAUUAGGAAUGAAUAUGUAGGUUAUAAUAUUGUAUUUUAGGCUGUUUUAGAUCGACUAAAACGAUUAAAAGGCUAAUGGUAUUAAUAGACGUUUAAACUAAGAACAUAAAUGACGUAAGUAACGUUAAAAAUGAAAUGUUGAAUUUAAUAAAUAAAAUGGUUAUAGGAAAUUUAUUAGGGCUGUCCUAAAUGUAUUAUAAGGUUAAUAAAAUAGUCAUUUUAAACAAAUUGUAAAAUGUUGUUUUUGUAACAUGUCCGAAUCGAAUAUGAAUCGAUAGGCGACGCUUGGUGAAUUAAGACACGUUUCGAUUAAGAUUAAGGUUGAACCUAAAGUAAGGAUACUAAGGGUUAUAUAUGCUAUUUUAAACUCAAAUUUGCUAAGGGAAAAGAUAUUAAGGUGAAGCAUUUUGAGGUUUAAACACGAAAAGACGAAAUUGACGUAACAACGCAACGAAGCGAAUGUAGACAUUUGAGCGAGUUUUAUAGGAUUGAUUGGGCAUUAUAGAUGGGUUUAAGUUAAGAAGACUUAACUUAAUAUAGUAAUUAAUAGUUUUGAUUUUAUAAUGCCAAUGAGAUAUAAAUGUAUUUUGAACCUCGUUUGUAACAGACAAACCGGGAGGCGAAGGGAUCGACGGUUUUGGCCUAGGAGUAUUCGGCCAAGACUAAUGCGUAUAAACAAUUUGGAUUGAAAAGCAAGGAGUACGUAGACUUGGAGUGACUAAAAGUCCAUCAAUUUGCCGGAAGUUUGUUUAGCUAUGUACAGUCCGACUUCCGCGACCGCUGCAGUAGUACAUUGUGUGACCAGUCAUGACCUAGGAUAAUGUUAUAGUGUUGGAAAAUGUUUAUAAUUGCUGUUGUGUAUAAAAUGAAUAUUAUAACAAUGUUAGAUAUACAUAGUCAGUGUUUAUAAAAUGGCUAGUAAUGUUUUCAUAAUUAAA